GCCGGGCGCAGUGGCGCGCGCCCGUAGUCCCAGCUACUCGGGAGGCUGAGGCAGGAGGAUCGCUUGAGCCCAGGAGUUCUGGGCUGUAGUGCGCUAUGCCGAUCGGGUGUCUGCACUAAGUUCGGCAUCAAUAUGGUGACCUCCCGGGAGCGGGGGACCACCAGGUUGCCUAAGGAGGGGUGAACCGGCCCAGGUCGGAAACGGAGCAGGUCAAAACUCCCGUGCUGAUCAUAAAAUGUAAAGUUUUCUUUGCCUCUUCCCCAGUCUCUUGAUGUUUCAUUUCUGUCUAAU
rfam:Mustela putorius furo unplaced genomic scaffold scaffold00044, whole genome shotgun sequence.